rnacentral:misc_RNA from 1 species
CCAAGAAAAGGACUGGAAGAAAUCAUCCAAGUUGGGGACUAUUUUCUGCCGUAUAGGCAG